GAGGUUUGAACCACUGGAAAAAGUAUGUUAUAUAUAGUAGGGUUAGAGAGGCAAGUAAGAGAGAGAGAGAGAGAAAAAAAAAAAAAAAAAAAAACAAUAAACACCACAGCUCUUUCCAGCUAGAAUAUUAGGCACCACGAGAAAAAUAUUUGCCAAGCAGUUUUCGACUGGAAACUGAAGCACAGAAAGGUGAAGUAGCUUGCCCAAAGUCAAGCAACUAAUAAAAAGCAGUGCUGGGAUUUGAACCCUAGCAAUCUGAAGUCUUUAAUCUUAGCUAUUAAUGUUUUACUGCCUUAUGAAUGAAGGAUAGAACUUCAACAGUUCAAUCUGCAAUCUAAAAUGGCUAAAUGCACCAGAUGACCCCGGCCUCCUUCACCCCUCACAUCCUGUGAUUGGUGAAAGGAGAAGAAUUAAUCACCAGAACCUGGUGCACGAGGAAUAAAUCGCUCCUCAUUUGCACGCUGGCACAUCCCCAGGAAGAAUGGGGUCUCCCUCUGUCACCCAGACUGGAGUGUAGUGGCACAAUCACUGCUCACUGCAGCCUCGCCCUCCCAGGCUCAAGCGAUCCUCCCACCUCAGCCUCCCAAGUAGCUGGGACUACAGACAAGGCAACUCAACUGAGGACCAGACCAGUUAAAAGACUUGCCUGUGCUUUCACAACUAGGAAGGAGAGAAUCCAGGAUUCGGAAACAGACAGCCCAGCCCCAGAGCUAACGCCCUCACCCUCCCUAGCCUACUCACGUGAAGAUGAUGAGGAUGAAGACCUUUACGGUGAUCCACUUCCACUUAAUAAAUACUCCACUGAAGGCAUGGCUGACGUGGCUGCAGAAGAUCUUCAGGCAUGCAAAUCCCUAUGCCCAGCACAUUUCCGUGGACCCCUUCUGCUCCCUUGACAAUACUUGCUCCUUCCUACUCCACUCUUCACCUGGAUGGCCCUUCCCUUCAGGAUUCAGCUUGGGCCCAACUUCGCCUGGAUUAUCCUGCUCCUGUUUCCCCAGGAGCCAGCCGGAUGUGAACUCAAUAAGGGCAGAGAUUGUCCUCUCUUGUUGACUGAGGUAUGGCUGCUGCCUAGUGAACCUGGUUGCAUGGAAGAGAAGCCAUAACCUUCCUGCCUGACACUAAGAGGCUGGGUGAAGAAGAUUGGAGAUUUUCAUUUAUUUGUUUGUUUUAUUUGCCUAUGAACUUCUCCAGCUGAUUUCCUGCCUCCUGCAGGAACCUCUUGGACACCUAAACAGGCCUGCAAGCAUUCCCAGAUUUCCUGGGGCAAAGAUUAUCCUCCUAGUUUCUAAACAAAAUUCCCUAAGGAAUGGAGAGAUUUGGGAAUAUUCUGCUACGGAAUGUCAGAGCUGGAAGAUACCUUACGGAUCAUCUAGUUCAACCAAUUUGUUUUACAUAUGAAGAGACCGCCUUGGAAGCUUGUCUGAGGUCACAAGGCCAUUCAAGGGGCAAGUGAGACUAGAACACAGGUCUUCUAGUGGUCACUCUAAUGUCUCUCUCUACAAACAUAAGGCCAUGCUGCCCCUGACCUUGCUCAGCAUCUGUCUGAAGGUUCUGCCUGAAAUGAACCUGGAUGAGCGCAAACAUCACAAAGACCCACCCGAAGCUUUGCUGAGACCAUUUGGAUGACCUUCCAUGACAUUGAAGAACUCUGUAAUGAGGGAAGUAGCUGGACAUUAUAUGUCCCCAAGACUCCCAAAAGAAACAUAUGGUGACUGACACAAGACCAUGUCCAAAGAUGGCAGCCAGAGCUGAUAGAGGGUGAUGUCUUUAGAACAGCAGACUCCUGGAUCCCGGGAGAACCCUGGAGAGCAUCUAAAAUAGAAAGCAGCACUUCAGUAUGCAAGAGAGGUCUUGUCUUCUCGAAGUGACCCUGCUAUUUCCAGCCAUGUAACACUGGGCAAGACACUCCCCGUCUCCAGUACUCAGUUACCAAGCAUAUCAAAUAAACAGGUUGGGUUAGAUAAUACCACAGUAUUAUCUAAUACUUUCGGGUAUCUGGUACGAUCUGAUAGUUUUUUGUUCUGCAAAAGACUACAUGUCCUACUUUGACAGACAGAGAAAUGAAGGCUUAAAGAGGUCUGAUACUUUGCCUUCGGUUAUAAAGUGAGUUGGUGGCACAGUGGUGACCAGAGGCCUGGCCGGCAUUUUAUCCACUGCCCUGCAUGGCCAGAAUCAUCUCAUCCCCUGCCCUGUGGCCUCGUAGUAAAUUGUGCAAUUGCUCUCAUAGGGCUGUUGCAAUUGACCUCUUCUCUAACUCUUGGGACUGCUGGCAGCAUUCAGAGAGCUACCGGAGAGGGCUCUAAGCUGUCUCUGUCCUGGAAGUGGAGCAUGGGUCAGGCGGCUCUUUCUUCUCUCUCCCUGUUGAAAUGAAACUAAAACAAAACUUCUUAAUUUGGAGGCAGAGGGGCCAGAGGGGAGAUGCCCCUCAGCCUCUGCAAAGUCCAGCAUCUCUUUCCCUUCUUUAGGAGAUAGAGGAGUCUCCUGCCUGAGUCUCUGCAGAAUGAAGCCAGAUGACGAGUUAGAACCUGAGCAAAGUAGCAUGACCCAGGAAAAGAAAUACCUGGAAAGGUGCAGAAAGACUUCAAUCAGCAUGGCUCACAGACUUACUUUCUGUGUGACCUUCAGUCACUUUGGAUCCCAUCCAUAAACAGGGAAGAGGUGAACAGAAAAAAAAAAAAAUGGAAUGAUGUUAUUUCAACCUAAUAUUACUUUUAAGACUUACAACUUCUCUUGGGGCCAGAUAUGGAAAGCAUUUUCCUCAUCUACUUCCUUUUCAAUACGGUAGAAAAACUGUUUUUAAAGAAGGGCAAUUAAAAUAAACUGGCCCUGAAUGAU
rnacentral:lncRNA from 1 species